UACAGAGGGGGCAAGCGUUGUUCGGAAUUACUGGGCGUAAAGGGCGCGUAGGCGGCCUUCUAAGUCGAACGUGAAAUCCCCGGGCUCAACCCGGGAACUGCGUCCGAUACUGGAAGGCUUGAAUCCGGGAGAGGGAUGUGGAAUUCCAGGUGUAGCGGUGAAAUUCGUAGAUAUUCGGAGGAACACCAGUGGCGAAGGCGGCUCACUGGCUCGGUACUGACGCUGAGGUGCGAAAGCGUGGGGAGCAAACAGG
rnacentral:rRNA from 1 species